UACGGGGGGAGCAAGCGUUGUUCGGAUUCAUUGGGCGUAAAGGGUGCGUAGGCGGCGCGGUAAGUCGGAUGUGAAAUCUCGGGGCUUAACUCCGAAACUGCAUUCGAUACUGCCGUGCUUGAGGACUGGAGAGGAGACUGGAAUUUACGGUGUAGCGGUGAAAUGCGUAGAUAUCGUAAGGAAGACCAGUGGCGAAGGCGGGUCUCUGGACAGUUCCUGACGCUGAGGCACGAAGGUCAGGGGAGCAAACGGG
rnacentral:rRNA from 1 species